AAAUAUGUUUUCUUUUUAGCUUGUUUCUAAAGUGCAAAAUAAAAAGCCCUAGCUCUCUCUCACACAGCAGCAGUGCGAAACCCAUUCCUGCAAAUACCAGUACAUGGGGUUUUGUCGUUUAGCUUGAAAUACCCACACAGAACAGGUUUGUCCCUUAAAUUUAUAUCUUGAAUUCUCCAAGCCCUAAAUUUUCAUUUCUAAUUUCAAGAACCUGGGUUAUAUUUUGUUCAAAUUUCACCUUUCCAAUUUCAAAAUAAUAAGUGAGGGGAUGUUCAAUUUCCCUUUUCGCCUGAUUAAAGCUUCUUGGAGUGAUAAAUUUGAAUAUGUAUUCGUUUUGUUUCAGGUUAAAUACAAUGGACUUAAAUGGGAAAAGUUCACCGCAAGAGAAUGUUGAUUCGAAGGGGGCAUUCCGUAAGAUCUCCAAUGAUGCAGCUAACAGGAAAUACAGGCGUCGCUCUCCUGUUGGUGGUGGUUCCUCAUCGUCUGACGGUUAGUUUUUUUAAUUAAAAGAAAUUUUAUGCUAUUAAAAUUAAAAUAAUUAGAAAAAGAAAACAUUAUUCAGACCCUGUUUUGAUUUCCCUAAAUGUUUUACUAAUAGUUUCACUUUGUCACACGCUCUUGUUUCUGUGUAGCUGCGGGAUGCUUAUAGUAAAGCUCCGCCUAUGUGGGUUUCUCCAAAAUUGUAUUGGAAUGAAAUGGACAUGAAUAGUGAGGAGCGAGUGGAGAGAAUUUAUAAAAUGUGGUGGGAUUGAUUGAUUAAUCGAAAAGACGUUCUGUAGCAAUUAAUGUUUGAUGCAUAUUUUG
rnacentral:lncRNA from 1 species